rnacentral:rRNA from 1 species
UACGUAGGUGGCAAGCGUUGUCCGGAAUUAUUGGGCGUAAAGCGCGCGCAGGCGGUCCUUUAAGUCUGAUGUGAAAGCCCACGGCUCAAUCGUGGAGGGUCAUUGGAAACUGGGGGACUUGAGUACAGAAGAGAAGAGUGGAAUUCCACGUGUAGCGGUGAAAUGCGUAGAGAUGUGGAGGAACACCAGUGGCGAAGGCGACUCUUUGGUCUGUAACUGACGCUGAGGCGCGAAAGCGUGGGGAGCAAACAGG